UACGAAGGGGGCUAGCGUUCUCGGAAUCACUGGGCGUAAAGGGUGCGUAGGCGGGUCUUUAAGUCAGGGGUGAAAUCCUGGAGCUCAACUCCAGAACUGCCUUUGAUACUGAAGAUCUUGAGUCCGGGAGAGGUGAGUGGAACUGCGAGUGUAGAGGUGAAAUUCGUAGAUAUUCGCAAGAACACCAGUGGCGAAGGCGGCUCACUGGCCCGGUACUGACGCUGAGGCACGAAAGCGUGGGGAGCAAACAGG
rnacentral:rRNA from 1 species